GACGAACGCUGGCGGCGUGCUUAACACAUGCAAGUCGAACGGAAAGGCCCUGCUUUUGUGGGGUGCUCGAGUGGCGAACGGGUGAGUAACACGUGAGUAACCUGCCCUUGACUUUGGGAUAACUUCAGGAAACUGGGGCUAAUACCGGAUAGGAGCUCCUGCUGCAUGGUGGGGGUUGGAAAGUUACGGCGGUUGGGGAUGGACUCGCGGCUUAUCAGCUUGUUGGUGGGGUAGUGGCUUACCAAGGCUUUGACGGGUAGCCGGCCUGAGAGGGUGACCGGCCACAUUGGGACUGAGAUACGGCCCAGACUCCUACGGGAGGCAGCAGUGGGGAAUAUUGCACAAUGGGCGGAAGCCUGAUGCAGCAACGCCGCGUGCGGGAUGACGGCCUUCGGGUUGUAAACCGCUUUCGCCAGUGAAGAAGCGAGAGUGACGGUAAUGGGUAAAGAAGCACCGGCUAACUACGUG
rnacentral:rRNA from 1 species